CUAACAAGGAUUCCCCCAGUAACGGCGAGUGAAGCGGGAACAGCUCAAAUUUGAAAUCUCCGACGCUUGCGUCGGCGAGUUGUAGUUGCGAGAAGCACUUUCUCGGCGGAUCGGGCGCGCCUAAGUUGCUUGGAACAGCACGUCGCAGAGGGUGACAACCCCGUCUGUGGCGCGGCCGUCCGCUCACGAUGUGCUUUCGAAGAGUCGGGUUGUUUGGGAAUGCAGCCCAAAAGGGGUGGUAAACUCCAUCUAAAGCUAAAUACUGGCGUGAGACCGAUAGCGAAGGAAACGAAUGGACUCAGCAAUGCGCCCUUUGAGAUUCAGCCGGCCGGCGGGGACGGCCCGGGGUUUGCGGAUCCGGAUGGACCGCGGUCUCGGGUUCGACUUUCCCGGCCGUCGCACUUCUCUUGGGCGCGCGUCAACGUCGGUUGGGACUGGGUCUGAAAGGGGCCGGUAAGGUAGGUCCGUGCGUCCUCUCGGGGGCGUUCGUUCCGCUACAGGCCGGUCCCCUUGGCUCGGGUCCGACCGAGGCUGUCGCGGCGCACGCCUCUUGUGGCUAGGGUCCCGUCGCUCCGGCCGGUCGUCGACCGCGGUGGACUGCUUGCAGUNUCCGCGACUGCUGCCGGUCGUUGGGGCGGUGAUCU
rnacentral:rRNA from 1 species